UACCAGCACCCCGAGUGGUCGGGACGAUUAUUGGGCCUAAAGCAUCCGUAGCCGGUUUUACAAGUCCUCCGUUAAAUCCAGCUGCUUAACAGAUGGGCUGCGGAGGAUACUAUAAGACUAGGAGGCAGGAGAGGCAAGCGGUACUCAGUGGGUAGGGGUAAAAUCCGUUGAUCCAUUGAAGACCACCAGUGGCGAAGGCGGCUUGCCAAUACGCGCUCGACGGUGAGGGAUGAAAGCUGGGGGAGCAAACCGG
rnacentral:rRNA from 1 species